CUUUGUCGGAUUAAAAUGCAACACCAUGUGUUUUCCUCUGAUAACGAAACAAUUAUUUUAUAGUCUUUUAAUCACGUUUGCACACUUUCCUGUAACAAAUAUAUCUAUAAUAUAUUUCUAUAUAUAUGUAGUCAGAUUCUGAGAACACAUUUCUGAUUCUGAUUCUAUGUUGCGCAUUAACUCGAUGCGUCACGCGAACCUGCAUUUUAUCAGUGCCAAAGCAUGGGAGGAGUGACUCAUUGACACUAUUUAAGGCCCUGAAUAUUUGUUGGCUCCUCAGUUAUCACUCUCUCAGCAGCAUGCAGAUGAUCCAAACAGGCUUCGGGAUGCUCACACCUCUGGCUUUUGGCUUGGUUUAUCUGAUUUGCAGCCUCACCGCUGUCCGUGCUGAGGCUGGCAAGGGAACAUCUGUAGCCUCUUCAGGGGACAGCAACCGAACAACCGGUAUGGAAAUACAGCGUCACAACAACACAGCUGUGUGCUGUGAGAAUCAACUCUAUCCAGUGGCAGAGCUCUCAUAUUGUGGAGAGAAGGCUUUCAACCCAGAAGAAGCCACUUGUUGCCCAUAUGAAAAUGGAAGCACCAUAACAGAGGGCCUUAGUGAAAAGGUGUCAGCUUGCUGUGGACUGAAGGCAUACGACCAGCUCAAUCAAAUAUGCUGUCACGGAACCAUCCUAGUCAAACCUGGGCCAAACGCCCAAUGUUGUGAUAAAAAGGCUUUUGAUGUCGACGAGCAGAUGUGUUGUGGACCGCUGACCAAUAAGACAAUCCUAACAAAAGAAUCCUCAGACCACCGAUGCUGUGGACAAAACAGUUUUAACCCAACGACUCAAUGCUGCUGUUCGAUAAAUGAAAGUCUAAGCAUAUGGUCCAAGGAUUCCAGCUGCUGCGAGAAGGCUGACUGUGGACAGAACACCUACAACACAAGCGACAAACUAUGCUGUCAAUCAACGGUUGUUAGCAAAAAUGUAUCAAAUGCCCAAUGCUGUGGUAAACAGGCGUUUAAUAACGACACACAAUUGUGUUGUGGUCCUUCUGAUGACAAGAUAAUCCUGGAGAGAAUCUCUAUUGACCACCUCUGUUGUGGACGUAACCGGUUCGACACCAACAAGGAGUGCUGCUGUUUGACAAAGGAAGGUCUUCAGAUACAACAGAUCAAUUCCAGCUGCCGUCGGGAUCAGGGUCAAUCUUCUGAUGCCACUGCUGUGUUUAACCCACACAUAGGUGUCUGCUGUGGACGCUGUGUGUCUGAUUGGAACCCUUCGACAGAUCAACUUCAUGGCCCGCCUGGACAACAUAGCUGCAGGACGAAAGUUUAUCGGCCUCACGCGGGGAUCAUUUGCGAUGGACCAAGGACUCCUCACUUCUGUGGGUCAAAAGCCUACGACAUUAAAGACCCAGGAAUGAAGUGCUGCGCAGGAACAUUGCACAACCUCACUCAAGUACCAGAGGCGCAGUGCUGUGGCUCCAUCCUGCAAAACAAACCGAACGUAUGCUGUUUGAGUGAGCACAUGGAGGUGCUCUACUCCAACAAGACGAAAUUUGAAUGCUGUGGUCACCUCUACUACAACACCUCCCUAUGGUCAUGCUGUGCAGGGACGCUGAGCGCUGUGCCUCCACGAGGACAGCAUCCGAAAUCCAUACUUCGAUCUUUGGGCAAUUUGAAUGAGACGGAUCUUUGUGGCAAACUGCAAGUCGGGAUUGUGGAAAGGGACGGCCUGAAUGGGAUCGUAUUCAACAGUGUGUUGAUAAUCCAUGGAAGGAAUGGCAGUGUGAUACCCAGGAGCGGGCUUCACACCCUGAGUACAGGAACCGAUGGCUGCAGCAACGCAAAACUGGUCCCUGGGAAGAGCUACUUCUUUGAUGACGUUAAAGUAAAUGUCUUCACAGAUCUCAACCACGACUCUAUUCUCCAGUCCAUCUAUUUCAUUAUUUCUAAGUGUCAUACGAAUAUAUAAGAUUAUAGACUUUAUGUUCAGGGUCGGACGAUUUACUAACUAAUCUAACAUGCAGCUAAUUUAUAGAUGUUGAGUUUUGGAUUAACACCAUUUGUUAAAAAACAACUGUGGAGUUAUCAAAAGCAAUAUUCCUUGUCUCUUAGCAGAGGACAGCCAUUAUCAAUUAUCAGGCUGGAGCUUGUUCACUAAGUCCACAUAUUAGUCUGUUAACUUAUGCACAUCAAUAAAACUACUCUCAAAUUGUGAAGUAGCAGAGCAUCAAAAGAAUUAUUAUAUACAAUGUCCAUGAAGUUCAUGACAGGAUGAUCUAAAUCUUUUGCAUAACUGGUGGUUGCAAUUACCAAUGUUUAGUAAUCACCGCAAGAUGGUGACACUCAUCACGGUGAACUAUUUGUUUUCAAGAUUAAUGUUUGUGUGAUUAAUGUGUCUGUGAUUUUAAUAAGCUAAUAAGCUAAACAGCUAUUAGAACAUGUGUUUUCAUUUUUGGAACAUUAUGCUCUAUUUUGGAUUUUUAAAUUUGCACAAAACUACAUUAAUAGUGAGUCACUCAUGAAAAUGUAUGUUUGAAUAUAAAUGACAGGAUUUGUCACAUUAUGUGUCACAUGUGCUAAACAAAGCUGAAAGACCAAUCACUUAAAUAUUAAGCUGUGGUGCAUUGAAUUUCUAUGGUGCGUUGAAGUUAUAUUUCUUAACAAUAUGUAUGUUACCCAUAGUUCCAUGUUCCUGUAGCUAGGAACAUGGCAUUAGUAUGAAGGUACUUUUCCCACUUUGAGCGUGUUGCUAUCGCCUUAGUGUGGCCUAAAGGAUUCUGGA
ensembl:lncRNA